rnacentral:rRNA from 1 species
GAAUCUUGGACAAUGGGCGCAAGCCUGAUCCAGCCAUGCCGCGUGAGUGAUGAAGGCCCUAGGGUUGUAAAGCUCUUUUGUCCGGAAAGAAAAGCCUUCGGUUAAUACCCGGGGGUGAUGACGGUACCGGAAGAAUAAGCACCGGCUAACUUCGUGCCAGCAGCCGCGGUAAUACGAAGGGUGCAAGCGUUACUCGGAAUUCCUGGGCGUAAAGCGUGCGUAGGUGGUUCGUUAAGUCUGAUGUGAAAGCCCUGGGCUCAACCUGGGAAUGGCAUUGGAAACUGGCGACCUAGAGUGCGGUAGAGGGUAGUGGAAUUCCCGGUGUAGCAGUGAAAUGCGUAGAGAUCGGGAGGAACAUCCGUGGCGAAGGCGACUACCUGGACCAGCACUGACACUGAGGCACGAAAGCGUGGGGAGCAAACAGG